AAAAACACCAAACCUGUGGGAAACGGUGGGAUCCUAAGAAAAUAACUGCAGGAAAAUAAAACUGUGUAAAUCUGGGGAAAAAUCACUGUAAAUGCCAGGAAAAAUCACUGUAAUUCCCAGGGAAAAAAAAAUCCAGAAUAUUCACUGUAAUUCCCAAAAAACUGCCAGAAAAUCAAUGUAAAUCUGGGGAAAAAUAACUGUAAAUCAUCGGAAUAAUAACUGCAAAUCCCAGGAUAAAACUCCAGAAAAAUCACUUUAAUUCCCAGAAAAAUCACUGUAAAUCCCAGAAAAAAACCUCCGGAAAAAUAAUUUUAAUUUCUGGGGAAAAAAAAACAAAACAAAAAGACCCUCCAAACCCCUCAAAAAUUAACAACAACAACAAAACCAACAACAAAAACAACCAGGAAAAUUCAUUUUAUUUCCAGGAAAAAACCUCCAGAAAAAUCACUUUAAAUCCCUGGAAAAAGCUCCAGGAAAAACACUCUAAUUCCCAGAAAAAAAAAAAAAAACCAAAAAUAACCCCAAAAAACCCUGGAAAAUUCAUUUUAAUCCCAGGAAAAAAACUCCAGAAAAAAAAAUCACUUUAAUUCUCGGAAGAAAAAAAAAUAGGGAAAAUCGGAAAAAAUCGCUUUAAUUCCCAAAAUUCUCAGGAAAAUUUCCUUUAAUUCAUGAAGCCCCAUGCUCGCUUUUGCUGCUUCCCAAAAAUAAUCCGGGAAAGAUUUUCCUUCCUAAAACCUGGAAAAGUGGGAAAAGCAGGACAGGAGGGAAAGUGGGAAAAGAGGAGCAGGAAAAGGAGGAAAAGGAGGAAAAGGAGGAAAAAGAGGAAAAGCUGGAAAGGGAAGAGAAGGAAAAAGAGGAAGAGGAAGAGGAGGAGGAAAACGAGGAAAAAGAGGAGCAGGAGAAGCGGGAGGAGGCAGAGCAGGAAAAGCGGGAAGAGCAGGAAGGGGAAAGGCAGGAAAGGAGGAGGAGGAGGAGGAGGAAGGGGAGGAGGGAAGGCGAUGAUUCCCAAAUCCCGGCAUCCCUCGCUCCGCUCCGCUGGCAGCGGCUCCGGGCCGGGCCCGGCGCUCCGGGCGCGUUCGGGGAUCGCGGGCCCAGCGCCGGUACCGGGAGAGCCCCGGCGGAUCCCGGCGGGAUCGGCGCCCCCCGGCCCGCGGCCCAUGCGGACACCGAGCGGCGGCCGCGGCCUGCCCAGGAUCUCCCCCGGAUCCCCCCGGCCCCGCGGGGAUGGAGGAGCUGGGCCGGGCCUUCGACUUCGAGGACAGCGAGGAGGAGGAGGAGGAGGAGGAGGAAGGGGAGGACGAGGACUCGGAUUCGGGAGCCGAUCCCGGAGUUGA
rnacentral:lncRNA from 1 species